rnacentral:rRNA from 1 species
GACGCACGCUGGCGGCGUGCCUAAUACAUGCAAGUCGAACGCAGUGGGGACGGGUGAGUAACACGUGGGUAACCUCCCAUCAGAGGGGAUAACACUUGGAAACAGGUGCUCAACCGAUAUUGAUUGAUGUACCCGCGGUGCAUUAGCGAGUUGGUGAGGUAACGGCUCACCAAGGCCACGAUGCAUAGCCGACCGUAGAGGGGUAUCGGCCACACGGGGACUGAGACACGGCCCAGACGCCUACGGGAGGCAGCAGUAGGGAAUCUUCGGCAAUGGACGAAAGUCUGAACGAGCAACGCCGCGUGAGUGAAGAAGGUUUUCGGAUCGUAAAACUCUGUUGUUAGAGAAGCGGUAUCUAACCAGAAAGCCACGGCUAACUACGUGCCAGCAGCCGCGGUAAUUC